rnacentral:rRNA from 1 species
UACGUAGGGUGCAAGCGUUAAUCGGAAUUACUGGGCGUAAAGCGUGCGCAGGCGGUCCGUUAAGACAGAUGUGAAAGCCCCGGGCUUAACCUGGGAACUGCAUCUUAUACUGCAUAGCUUGAGUGCAAUAGAGGGUAGUGGAAUUUCCGGUGUAGCGGUGAAAUGCGUAGAUAUCGGAAGGAACACCAGUGGCGAAGGCGGCUACCUGGAUUGACACUGACACUGAGGCGCGAGAGCGUGGGGGAGCGAACAGG